rnacentral:rRNA from 1 species
CUACGGGAGGCUGCAGUGAGGAAUAUUGCACAAUGGGGGGAACCCUGAUGCAGCAACGCCGCGUGGAGGAUGACGCAUUUCGGUGUGUAAACUCCUUUUAUAUGUCAAGAAAAUGACGGUAGCAUAUGAAUAAGCACCGGCUAACUCCGUGCCAGCAGCCGCGGUAAUACGGAGGGUGCAAGCGUUACUCGGAAUCACUGGGCGUAAAGGACGCGUAGGCGGGCUUGUAAGACAGGUGUGAAAUCCUACAGCUUAACUGUAGAACUGCACUUGAAACUACGAGCCUAGAGUAUGGGAGGGGCAGAUGGAAUUAGUGGUGUAGGGGUAAAAUCCGUAGAUAUCACUAGGAAUACCUAAAGCGAAGGCGAUCUGCUGGAACAUAACUGACGCUAAGGCGUGAAAGCGUGGGGAGCAAACAGGAUUAGAUACCCUUGUAGUC